GUGAGCUGUGGCCAGAGCUCAAGGAUGAAGGGGACUCCCUCACUCUGUGACUGUGAAGAGGAAGCCUGAGGUGUAGCAGGCCCAGGUCCCAGAAGUAUGGAAAAAAUGAGCAUUUCAUCCCAAAGAUGCAGCCGACUUGAUUGUGGUGGAUAAGCUUUUUGAUGUGCUGCUGGAUUCUGUUUGCUAGUAUUUUAUUAAGAAUUUUUGCAUUAAUGUUCAUCAGGGAUAUUGGCCUGGAUUGAGCAGGCCAUUUCCAAUCCAGCGGAAGACCUUCUAGAAGAGGUGAUGGGUGGGAGAGUGCUGGCAUACUAUGUGAAGCUACUAUUUGGAGUUGGACACGAGUGCAUGUGACCUUGUGCCACAGCGGGAAUCUUGACUACCACACAAAUGAAUCCACUCAAAUGUUGGCAAGUGGAGCAGAGUCCCAGGACAGUCUGCAAUCUCUACAGGUACAGAAACACCCCCAGUUCAAGGAUCUUCACACCUGGAUUUAGGCCUACUCCUGCAACUACCCCAGAACCUGGAAUUUAUAUGUUCAACAUGGAGCCAUCCCAGCCAUGACAACAGAGAAUGUACCACUCUCACGCCAGUUAUCCAGGCAGUGACUUUCAGUGCAGCUACAGUCACCUCUGGAAACCUGCGGAGACUUUAAAAAUUUCCAGAAGGUCAGGAAUUUUUGGAGACCUUUCUCAUGGCUACAUUGCCUGCAAAGGUGAAUCAAUAAGCUUCUGAACUGACUUAGAAAAUGUUGCAGAGACUCUUGUGAACAGAUAGACCCUCUCCUGCCACUCAGAUAGACGUAUCAGGGUCACACACACCUGAUUUAACAACAUGUCAUUAUCUCAGGUGGGCAACAGACAGCAAUUUAGGACCUAUCCCAGUGUGGAUGAAAGACAUUGAGUUGGCU
rnacentral:lncRNA from 1 species